rnacentral:rRNA from 1 species
CCUACGGGGGGCUGCAGUGGGGAAUAUUGCACAAUGGGGGAAACCCUGAUGCAGCAACGCCGCGUGAGCGAAGAAGGCCUUCGGGUCGUAAAGCUCUGUCCUAAGGGAAGAAGCAUGACGGUACCUUAGGAGGAAGCCCCGGCUAACUACGUGCCAGCAGCCGCGGUAAUACGUAGGGGGCGAGCGUUAUCCGGAAUCACUGGGCGUAAAGGGUGCGUAGGCGGCCGAUUAAGCCAGGGGUGAAAGGCUACGGCUCAACCGUAGUAAGCCCUUGGAACUGAUUGGCUUGAGUGCAGGAGAGGGGGGUGGAAUUCCUAGGGUAGCGGUGAAAUGGGUGGAAAUUAGAAGGAACACCAGUGGGAAAGGCGACUCUCUGGACUGUAACGGACGCUGAGGCACGAAAUCGUGGGGGGCAAACAGGAUUAGAUACCGGGUAGUC